rnacentral:rRNA from 1 species
ACUCAAAGGAAUAGACGGGGGCCCGCACAAGCAGCGGAGCAUGUGGUUUAAUUCGAAGCAACGCGAAGAACCUUACCUGGGCUUGACAUGUUUCUGACCGUCGUGGAAACACGGCUUCUCUUCGGAGCAGAUUCACAGGUGGUGCAUGGCUGUCGUCAGCUCGUGUCGUGAGAUGUUGGGUUAAGUCCCGCAACGAGCGCAACCCUCGUCGUAUGUUGCCAGCAUUUAGUUGGGGACUCAUACGAGACUGCCGGUGACAAACCGGAGGAAGGCGGGGAUGACGUCAAGUCAUCAUGCCCCUUAUGUCCAGGGCUACACACGUGCUACAUUGGCGUAUACAGAGGGCAGCGAUACCGCGAGGUGGAGCGAAUCCCACAAAGUACGUCUCGGUUCGGAUUGUAGGCUGAAACCCGCCUACAUGAAGGUGGAGUUGCUAGUAAUCGUGGAUCAGCACGCCACGGUGAAUACGUUCCCGGGCCUUGCACACACCGCCCGU